GGGUUGUGAGGUUAAGUGACUAAGCGUACACGGUGGAUGCCUAGGCAGUCAGAGGCGAUGAAGGGCGUGCUAAUCUGCGAAAAGCGUCGGUAAGGUGAUAUGAACCGUUACAACCGGCGAUACCCGAAUGGGGAAACCCAGUGUGUUUCGACACACUAUCAUGUCAUGAAUACAUAGUGGCAUGAGGCGAACCGGGGGAACUGAAACAUCUAAGUACCCCGAGGAAAAGAAAUCAACCGAGAUUCCCCCAGUAGCGGCGAGCGAACGGGGAGGAGCCCAGAACCUGAAUCGGCUUGUGUGUUAGUGGAAGCGUCUGGA
rnacentral:rRNA from 1 species